CUGCGGCGCGAACUUGCGGGCGGCCGCCGCCUCCUGGUGCUGAGGCGACGCGGAGAAGCCGCCGGGCAGCGUGGCCAUGAGCGUGGAGGCGCUAAUUAAGCACGUUGGGGACGGAGGGAGCGCUCACCCGUUGCCGCCGCCCGGUUUCCAGCGCGAGGAAUCGAGGGCGCGCGGUCCCCCUUUGCCGACUGCUGGAUGCAGCCGAUUCCCACAAGAUAUUUCCCCUGUGCUCGACGACGCUCCUGAGUUCCCUUGAACGUGGAACAGUUUCGUGGCUCCGGUGGACGAUGCAAAGCUCACCAGCGCGCACUGGGCUUCCGCACGCCUCCAGGGCCUUGGCUUCAACUCCCUGUGUGUAGACGUCCUCCCCGAACCGCCGGCAGCACCCGGCCCAGGAAAAGGAGCGGAGGACAUUGUCACGUCGGUCAUUAAAAAUCAGCUCACGCGGAGGAGCUAGUGGUUGGGGAGUUGGCCCGUGUUGGACGUGUGUUAUGUAUCACUUACAAGCACAUUUAAU